UUGAAAGGGAAACGAUUGAAGUCAGUCGUACCAGCGGGAAAUCAACCUUUCGAGUGGGGUUUUGGAGUUUUGAAGAGUGUCAAAACCUUUGAGAUUUCAAAAUUUUCGCUCCUUUGGUGUACUUUCUCGUGGGUAGGUUAACAUCGAUUUCGAUCAUCAUAAAAGGAUUGGAGGAAUGUAGCUUCGAUCUUGUAUUGAAGUGUUAUAGCCCUUUGGUAAAUGUGAUGAUUGGGAUCGAGGAUUGCAACGAAUACCCUUUUGGGCUAUCCGCCUGAUCUCUGAUACGUGGCCUUGGCAUCGAAAGCUUGCUUAUGGUAUCAAGGUAUUACGGUCAAAAGGUUAGAACGGAUUACAUUCGUUAAGGAUGUUGACGUA
rnacentral:rRNA from 1 species